CUUCCCUUGGAAACGAAACGGUUACCCCGGUAACAGCGCGCACCUGCUGCUGCUGUUUCACUUCUGGAGACGCACGCAGACAAAACGAUGGUCGGAAAUGUAUUGGGACAUUUGUCUACGAUGUUGUUUUUCUAAAAUGUUCCGAAAUCUCCCGGUGAGGUUUUAACGACCUCACAGCCGAGUUUGUGCCGCUUAUUGCGUCUCGACGCUCGUGGACAUUUUGUGUCUCGGCUGCUAACGAUAAACGCGCGUGAAUACUGACAGAGAAAAACAGAGCAAAGCCCGGCUGUGGAGACGGAGGAACUAGAGCCAAAAGAGGAAGAAAAGUCGCAGCAGACCACCGCCUCUCCACCUCCAAGUCCUGAACCAGUUCAGAUUGCUGCGCCGGAACCAGAACCAGAACCAGAACCAGAACCAGAACCAGAGCCAGAGGUCGAGCCCCAGGAAGCGCACUCAGAAGCCGAGCCUGUGACCCAGCAGCCACAGAGAGCAGAGGAAGGCGGUCAAAGCACUGAGGCGGACAAAGCUGGUGAAAAAGAGGAGGAAGCUCCUGGAGACGACUGUGGUGCUCCCAUCAGCUGCGAUGCAUUUAAGAACUGCCUGAUGCGCAUUCCUCACACCUCUGAGUGCCUCGGCAACAUCAACGCGUUCUUCAAAGAGAACGGCAUCUCCGCUCCCAAAAUACCCUCCAUGCCUACGCUUCCCACCCAGCUCUCCGAUGUUACCAAGCUCUUGCCCACCCUCCCU
ensembl:lncRNA